UACAGAGGUCUCGAGCGUUAGGCGGAAUCACUGGGCUUAAAGCGUGUGUAGGUGGAUGCCUAAGUACCUUGUGAAAUCCCACGGCUUAACCGUGGAACUGCUUGGUAUACUGGGUGUCUUGGAGUCAGCUCAGGGCGAGCUGGAACAAAUGGUGGGAGACGGUGAAAUGCGUAGAUAUCAUUUGGAACGCCAAUGGUGAAAACAGCUCGCUGGGGGUGCACUGACAC
rnacentral:rRNA from 1 species